rnacentral:rRNA from 1 species
UACGUAGGGUGCAAGCGUUAAUCGGAAUUACUGGGCGUAAAGCGUGCGCAGGCGGUGAUGUAAGACAGUUGUGAAAUCCCCGGGCUCAACCUGGGAACUGCAUUUGAAACUGGCGGGCUUGAGUGUGGCAGAGGGGGGUGGAAUUCCGCGUGUAGCAGUGAAAUGCGUAGAGAUGCGGAGGAACACCGAUGGCGAAGGCAGCCCCCUGGGCCAACACUGACGCUCAGGCACGAAAGCGUGGGGAGCAAACAGG